rnacentral:tRNA from 1 species
UCCAGGGUAGCCUAGUGGACAUGGCAUCUGCCCGGUAAGCGGAACAGUGGGUUCGAUUCCCAUCCCUGGAC